AUGAGCUAGUUUGGUUCUGAUAAAGUAGUUGCAGCUUCUGUAUUAAAUCAGUUUAAAAACAUGUUCAUACUAACUUCUGUCAGCCUGGUAGUUUGCGGCAUGCUUUCCAUCUCUGGAGGCUUCAGCCUUCAUCUUGCUGGUGUCACUCCCAGCUCAUCCCCUCUUUGCUGACUUCUCUCUGCUUCCUGCACUACCUAAGUCUCUCCAGCUGUCCUGCCUUUUCAGUGAAAUGCUCCAAAAAUGUAACUUGUAAAAACAACAACAGUGUCAGGUAUGUACAAAUGACGGAUUCAGUCAGACUGGUCUUGACUAGAUGUCUCUCUUUGGCUUUUGUUUGGCUAAGCCUGGCUUAGUGCUUAGCUUAGCUCAGCUUAGCCUAGCCAAACUUGGCUCACUACAAACACUUUGGAUCAGCUAGUUCAACUCUGAGGGCGGCAAAAUCUGACAAACAAUGCCUUAAAAGUAUCACUCAGUUGACUUCUCUAGUUUUUUUUUAAAAAAAAAAGGUUAAAUCACAGUUUGCAAAUUAAAUAAGCCUUGAGCUGUUUCUGACACCAGGUGGGCUGGGCUAGCUAACUGGCUGCUGGUUUUAGUUAAGGUUUUGCUAAACAGACUAACAGCUUGGCUAUGUAAGAUUGGAAACAGUGGAAAACAAGAAACCUGGCUGUGUCAAAAGGUGGCAUAAUUCAUCAACCCGAGCCUCUGUAAGAUGGACAUGCCUCAGUUAUUUUCAGUUUUCUCUUUUUUUGAUUGAUGAGCGCAUGACAGUCCCAGCCAAUCAAACUCACGAAUUAGCCUUUGGCAUGGUAUGUACAAAUGACAAAUUCAGUCAGACUGGUCUUGACUAACUGUCUCUCUUUGGCUUUUGUUUGGCUAAGCUUGGCAUAGUGCUUAGCUUAGCUCAGCUUAGCCUAGCCAAAUUUAGCUCACUACAAACAAUUAGGAUCAGCUAGUUUAGCUCUGAGGGUGGCAAAAUCUGACAAACAAUGCCUUAAAAGUAUCACUCAGUUGACUUCUCUAGUUUAAAAAAAAAAAGGUUAAACCACAGUUCACAAAUGAAGUAAGCCUUGAGCUGUUACUGACACCAGGUGGGCUGGGCUAGCUAACUGGCUGCUGGUUUUAGUUAAGGUUUUGCUAAACAGACUUACAUCUUGGCUAUGUAAGAUUGUAAACAGUGGAAAACAAGAAACCUGGCUGUGUCAAAAGGUGGCAUAAUUCAUCAACCCGGGCCCCUGUAACAGAUAAUUUCCUUUAUUUGUAUGUGAUCUGAUAAUUAUGUUGUUUUCUGAUGGAUCCUGACGGGCUGCUUUGCAGGGUUUCCAGUUUACAUGCUGAGCAGAACUUGCCAAGCUGACCAGCUGCUGGCUCUAGCUUCCUGUUUAGUUCAGACAUGGUUUGGAUACAAAACUUUGCAUCUAAUUAGAUUUACCAACUGAGCCCUCCCUGUUUGAAAACAACUUCGCUGUCAGCGCUGUUUCACAACAGGAAAUCUCCUGCGAAUUCACAUCAACAGGUACGACCACAGGUUAUUUCAAACUAAUAACACUUUCCUUGUCUACUCCUUUCAGCUAGAGGCUCUGCAGAUUAAUGAGGCCUGACACCAGAUAGAUCCCAUGGCGGCCUUUUUUUCACCUCUGUUCUAGAGCUGAAAUACCCUGUGUCCUUUGGCACUGCGUUGCCAUCUGUGGCUGCUCCUCCUCUAAUAAACACGGCCCUAUUUAGUCUCUAAAAGCAGCACACAGGCACAGGUCCAACAGAAAAAAACCCUAAUGAACUCAAACAUUAAAAAAGCCACAGCAGUCACUGAGACAGUGCCCUCUGAGUAGUAGAAACCUGCUGGGAUUAUCCUGCUGGCGGUGGAGAGGCAGCUUCUGCUCAAGAAAAGAUGAGAGCUGAGGAGAUAUCGUCAUGUUGUUUUUGCCUCAUCGUCUGUGUCCAUUUUUUGAGCCUGUGGUUACAAUCUUGAGUGUGAGACCAGCAAAGGAGAGAUGAAAACACCUGCUUCAAGUUACUGAAAUAUAAAUCAAGGAGGACUUCGCUUUGAGCAAGAGAGAAAAAACAUAAAUUGAACAGCGUAGAUGUUGUUUUUGUGUGUUUGCUGUUUGAACACUUUGAAAAGAAAUACAUCAUUUUAUGUCAGAGAUUCAACAGCUAAGUAUCGCUGUCUGUGAAGAUGGACAUGCCUCGAUUAUUUUCAGUUUUCUCUUUCUAUGAUUGAUGAGCGCAUUACAGUCCCAGCCAAUUAAACUAACGAAUUAGCCUUUGGCAGACUGUGUAGCUCUAAUAGCAUACCAGUUGCCAGUCUCUCUGGUUGCUUCUUGCUUCAACAACCAACAUGGCCAUCCUAAAAUGCAAAAAUAAGAGCACAGAAAUGAGAGCUGCUGUGCUGUCACAUACAUGCCAAGACAUACCAUUCUCCAGGAAGCUUCAUGAGGUGAAUGAGAUAAGAGCUUAUUCUAGAGUCUGAAAUCUGAAGAUGCUCAGAAGACCUGACCAACACAAGGACACUCGAGUCCAUUAAAACAUAAAUGUUAUUUCUUUAAAGUCAUGAUUUAGGAAGCUGCAGAAACCGUGCCACAUUAGAUACCAAAGAAAGCUUCUAAAGCCUUCAGUUUCAUUGACUGACUGUAAGUCCCGCCACUGUUGAGGUUAAUUGUAGGGAUGGCCCAAUCAAAUAUUGAUAUCGGUCCAAUAUCAGCAAAAAAAACGACAAUUGGAUUAUAUCAGCCUGCAUCUAAAAUCUCCGGCAUCAGCACUCCGAUACAAGCAGUCCAUUCCAGAUUCCGCUGCAGCACUUCUAUCUAGCAGUGCCUAGAUCCAGCAUGCAGAGCCCACAAAAUCACAACAACAGUGUGAACUAAGGUACUAACAAAGUAGCAAAGAGUAGGAGUGAUGUCGGCUGUGUGGUGGUAUUUUUUGUUUAAGUCCGAAAAAGACGUUGCAGUUGAGUGCAAAACUUGUCAUGGACAAUUUUGUGCCAAUAUCAGAUCAAUUUCGUUAUCGUAUAGGAAGUAAAAAAAAAGCUGCACCCGGACACCCCUAGUAAAUUGUCAAACAUAGCUGAGGAUCAGGAACCAGAGGUGGUCAGUGUCAACUCUUUGGAUACACCCCUGCCUUGUUAAAAUUCACAGAACCGUCAUCCUCAGUGGAGACUGUUUUUGUGAUGAUCUGUACAACAUGUAAAGGGACCUAUCCAAACUAUCAGCUUGAGACUGUGAAACACUACACAGACAACUGAGGAAAGCAGUAAACAAUAUGAAUUCAGGCUCUGGGUUCAUUAACUUACUCCAGUCUGAUGGGUUUCAUACCAGGAGGCAACAAAGACAAAUUAAGUCUGGGUCAACUAACUCUGCAAUUUAAAAACUCCCCCCCUCCAGGAUAAUGUUGAAAUAUUUCAAGGCGUGUUGUACAUUUGAGAGAGGGGCCGGUUUGAAAUAACUGACCGGGAAUAAAACAAGCUUUAAAGAAUAAUUGUAGUGUGGUAGAAAUAUUGAGUAUUGGAAAGGAGUCAUUUAUGUUUCACAGUAAUUCUAUCUGACAGUGAGAGAUACCAGUCUUAUUGGGAGUGACCCGCUCAUCUCAUUUUGAAGCUAAGUGAUUAUUAAAACCACGGUCAUGGACAGUUACCUGCCAGAAAAUGUAAUAUUUUUGUCAGUCAGAGCCUCGCAGAACUGCCUCAAAUAUUGUGCUGUGAUAUUUGUGGAUGCACUCUGAAAGUCCACAGGACAGGUAAUAUUUGUUGAAAUGAAACCAUCUGCAUUGAUAACACCUGCCCUCCACUCAGAGAAAGAGAGCAAACAGAGAAGAUCAGUGGUGGCUGGGGAGACCCCUUGAUUGAUGAUAGAGCUUAUUGUGUGUCAGUCAGCGCCUGACAGAUUGAGCUGUCCACAGCUCUGUAUACCAGGGUGUCCCUAGGCGCUCAACGCAUGAAUAAAAACCUCACAGAGAUUCACUUUGAAAACUGACAACCGGGGUUGAUAGUAACACAUCAGUCAGCAGUUUGCAGCCUCACCACCUGAUGCCUGUUGCUUGUUUAUAUCAAAACCAUUUUUAUUUUAGAGUCUUACAGUAAAUUUGAGCUUGAAGUCAGCUGAAGGUGCAUAAACAGCUGUUUUCGGGGCGCUUUAGAUAGUGUCAAAUUAUCUUUUGUGAGUCAAAUUUGCAUGAAAAUGGGACGGAAGGGUAAAAUACUCUUCAAGAUGCAGUGUGUUUGCAUUCAGCCAAACAAAUAAGGUAGAAACAGAAAAUAAAAUUCAUGAGUAUAAAACCAUUUUGUUUUUGUUUACCUCGGAUAAGCUUUCAUAUCUUUACAGGAGCAGGUCCUCCUCCACAGAGAUCGUCUUGUACCAACAUGUUUCUACGAAGCACAGAAUGGACGUUCGCCUGUAUA